UGACUCCAGGACUCCCAACUCAAGUCCUGGACGUGAGAAUCUCGCUAUGGUUACUCAACUCUCAGCCUAGCCUUCUCGCUUCUGGUCCCUCAGAAUCGAUGCUGGGAGAACCUAGCUACGGUCGAGGCUCAGAGGGCAGAAGGCUCGUGGCUGCUAGGAAUGGAAAAGCUGGCCACCGGCCUCCUGAGACCAGCACAGCUCUGCUAUUUCAUGUGCAAAUGACCUUCUCAGCAGUCUUUCUGGCAUAACCUUGAUGUCCACAACACUGGCAGCAACUUCCAGGCAAAGAAACUCUUUGGAACUCUAACCAUCUCCUUUCUGUCUUCAGAAGCGGAAGGCCUAUGUUUAUGUGGGGCUUGCAGCAGAGCUAUCUGACAUCGGAUGUGAACAGAAAUGCCCUGUAGUCCUGCUCCCCGUCCUCAGCAACUGUGGAAGCCCAAGGUCCCUUGAUCCAGGAACUGCAGACAAGUCCAGAAUCCGUGGGACAAAACAUCAGGCUGAAGAUCCAAAAAGAGCCACAGUUCAAGUUCAAAGGCAGCGGCUGGCAGAAAUCCUCAAGGGAGACUAGUCUUUUUGACUGGGGCUUUGGCUAUUUAUAUGAAGACCAACAUUAUGUGCUUUAGUUAAACUCCAGUGAUUUAAAUGCUAAUUAAAAUGAAAAAUACCUUCACAGAAAAAUCUA